CCAGAGAUGGCGGGCCCCCGCGCCCCCGUCCCCAACCCUUUGUUGACCAAACCACUUUUGCCUCGGGGGUGGAGCGGCCUCCGCCGCCCCCGGUGGACCAUUCAACUCUGUCUCUUUGCGUCGGAGUCUUUGAUAAAUAAAUGA
rnacentral:misc_RNA from 1 species